UCUAGCCAGUACCCCUGAGCAAAGAGAACUUUAGUUCAGCCCCCCGAAACUAGACGAGCUACUUCAAGACAGCCUAUGAUGGGCAAACCCGUCUCUGUUGCAAAAGAGUGGGAUGAUCUUCAAGUAGAGGUGACAAACCUAUCGAGCCUAGUUAUAGCUGGUUGUCUGAGAAUUGUAUAUAAGUUCAGCCUCCCGACUCCCCCCAUCAAAGACAUUCAUGUCUCCUAAGAUCAAGGGUGACCGAGAGAGUUAGUCAAAGAGGGUACAGCCCCUUUGAAAAAGGACACAACCUCCCCGGGAGACUAAAGAUCAUAAUUAACCUAAGGACCCUUGUUUUAGUGGGCCUAAAAGCAGCCACCUAAGAAGAAAGCGUUAAAGCUCAUACAAAUUCCACCCCCUAAUACCGAACCCAACUCUGCACUCCCCACCCAUUAUCAGACCGUCCCACCUUACCCUGGGAAAGACCCUGCUAGAAUGAGUAAUAAGAGGGACCGCCCCUCUCCACUGCACAUGUGUAAAUCGGAACGGACCCACCACCGAUAACUAACGAUUCCCCCUCCGAGGCAAAUGUAGCACUGCACAAACAGCUAGAAAACCCAACACAACAAAUCGUUAACCCCACACAGGUGCGCAUGCCCGGAAAGACUUAGAUAAAGGGAAGGAACUCGGCAAACACAAGCCUCGCCUGUUUACCAGAAACAUCGCCUCUUGCAAAAAGAACGAAUAAGAGGUCCCGCCUGCCCUGUGACUAUAUGUUUAACGGCCGCGGUAUUCUGACCGUGCAAAGGUAGCGCAAUCACUUGUCUCUUAAAUGGAGACCUGUAUGAAAGGCAUCACGAGGGCUUAGCUGUCUCCCCUCUAAAGUCAAUGAAAUUGAUCUCCCCGUGCAGAAGCGGGGAUACGCUCGUAAGACGAGAAGACCCUAUGGAGCUUAAGAUAUAAAGUGACCCAUGUCAAGCACCCCUCACAAAGGACUAGAACAAGAUGGACCUCAUCGAAAUAUCUUCGGUUGGGGCGACCGCGGGGAAAGACAAAACCCCCACAUGGAACGGGGCCACUAUAGCCCUAGAACCCAGACCCACGAGUCAAACUAACAGUAUUUCUGACCACCAAAGAGCCGGCAAUGCCGAUCAACGGACCGAGUUACCCUAGGGAUAACAGCGCAAUCCCCUCCCAGAGCCCUUAUUGACAAGGGGGUUUACGACCUCGAUGUUGGAUCAGGACAUCCUAAUGGUGCAGCCGCUAUUAAGG
rnacentral:rRNA from 1 species